CGAAGAGCGGCUACGGGAUGUAAACAACAACCCAGCUCAGCGAAAAUACUGACUAGCCUUAAGGCUCGACCUGAAGGCCAUUUAAGUCACCUCGAGACAUCGAAACAGAUCGAGAUAAAUAUUGCAUGAUUCUAAAAAUUCGUCGUAUUUUGGAACAUUUUGCGAUAUUGAAUCGAUAUUGUGGUCAGAAAGAAAUAGGGGGUAAAGGUGGUGUACCCAAGCAUGAAACGUUCAGGGGAUCGUGCCCUCCUAGAGAGUACAGCCACGAGGACACCGCAGGGGAUACCAUCCCUUAUAAACCGGAAACGGAUGUAGAAGUGGAUAUUAGACAGGUGGUUCAGAAUUUCGCAUUGGACAAGGCUGAUGGUUAAAUUAGCGCAUGAUUUCGACAGCUCGCUUGAUUACACUCAUAAAACCGGAUAUUCCAAGGAUUGCAAAUCGAUUAAAACUGCAAGAUGAAUCGAGAUAUAAAUCGAUUUCACACUCCCGCUGAGUAUAAAUUAAUAGACAUUUACAGGGGUUGGUUAUAUUUUGAAUGAAUACCAAGAUGUUUCGAGGGAUACCGAUUACCAGGUGUUAGACAUGGGUCCCUGAAUACAAGGAUAUGCAUAGAAAAUCGAUUAGAUACGUGUUUUGAAAAAUGAUGUGCUAUUAUAAAAAAUCAAUUUGUUUUUUAAAUAUAUAGAAAUUUUUUUACA